GACGAACGCUGGCGGCGUGCUUAACACAUGCAAGUCGAACGGAAAGGCCUCUUUCGGGGGGUACUCGGGUGGCGAACGGGUGAGUAACACGUGAGUAACCUGCCCUUGACUUUGGGAUAACUUCAGGAAACUGGGGCUAAUACCGGAUAGGAGCUCCUGCUGCAUGGUGGGGGUUGGAAAGUUUCGGCGGUUGGGGAUGGACUCGCGGCUUAUCAGCUUGUUGGUGGGGUAGUGGCUUACCAAGGCUGUGACGGGUAGCCGGCCUGAGAGGGUGACCGGCCACAUUGGGACUGAGAUACGGCCCGGACUCCUACGGGAGGCAGCAGUGGGGAAUAUUGCACAAUGGGUGGAAGCCUGAUGCAGCAACGCCGUGUGCGGGAUGACGGCCUUCGGGUUGUAAACCGCUUUCGCUCAUGACGAAGCUUUGUGUGACGGUAGUGGGUAAAGAAGCACCGGCUAACUACGUG
rnacentral:rRNA from 1 species